rnacentral:rRNA from 1 species
GAUGAACGCUGGCGGCGCGCCUAACACAUGCAAGUCGAACGGCACCCACCUCCGGGUGGAAGCGAGUGGCGAACGGCUGAGUAACACGUGGAGAACCUGCCCCCUCCCCCGGGAUAGCCGCCCGAAAGGACGGGUGAUACCGGAUACCCCGGGGUGCCGCAUGGCACCCCGGCUAAAGCCCCGACGGGAGGGGAUGGCUCCGCGGCCCAUCAGGUAGACGGCGGGGUGACGGCCCACCGUGCCGACAACGGGUAGCCGGGUUGAGAGACCGACCGGGCAGGUUGGGACGGAGACACGGCCCGGACUCCUACGGGGGGCAGCAGUGGGGAAUCUUGCGCAAUGGGGGGAACCCUGACGCAGCGACGCCGCGUGCGGGACGGAGGCCUUCGGGUCGUAAACCGCUUUCAGCAGGGAAGAGAAGAGACUGUACCUGCAGAAGAAGCCCCGGCUAACUACGUGCCAGCAGCCGCCGUAAUAC